rnacentral:sRNA from 1 species
GGCGCUAAGGCGGGCGCGGGGCCGCGGGUGCGGAAAGCGCUAGGUCCAGCCCUGCUGGGAGUUCUCUUCCACCACACAGAUUUGCGGAAGAAUCUGACCGUGGACGAGGGCACCAUGAAGGUGGAGGUGCUGCCUGCCCUGACCGACAACUACAUGUACCUGGUCAUCGAUGAUGAGACCAAGGAGGCUGCCAUCGUGGACCCGGUGCAGCCCCAGAAGGUCGUGGACGCGGCGAGAAAGCACGGGGUGAAACUGACCACAGUGCUCACCACCCACCACCACUGGGACCAUGCUGGCGGGAAUGAGAAACUGGUCAAGCUGGAGUCGGGACUGAAGGUGUACGGGGGUGAUGACCGUAUCGGGGCCCUGACGCACAAAAUCACUCACCUGUCCACGCUGCAGGUAAGGAGUGAGCCCUGGAGGUGCUCCAACGUGGCCCUGCCAGGAGCGUGAGGUGGGGGGUGGU